ACUCUAGUUUUUAUAUAUUUAUAAGUGCAUGGAGCAUCAGUGUGUGUGGAGUAACACAAGAGUCAGCAGCAACACGCUCACUCCAACAUCUAAGUCGGAGGCAACAUUUUUCAACAUGAACAGGUCAUAUUUGACGCUGGUGGUGUCCCUCUUGGUGGUGUUCAGCGCCCUCCUCCAUCCUACCUAUGCUAAUGCCUUGGGAUCAAACAUACGUAAACGGCCGGUUCCUCGCUUCUGCCAGUAUGUGAGGGUGGACUGUGUUGGAUAUCCCCAACACCAGUGCUGCCGCAGCCAGGGUCCGUACAGGCCAGGGUAACUGCUACCAACACAGCUGAGGGCCGGCCAGCAUCCGGCGCUAGUACCUUCCCAUAAUAAAACCCGACGACCUCUCGCUACAGUAUUUGUAUUAUUGUGCAUAGCAUUCCAAGAUUCAAAGUUUAUUCUCUGUAAGGAUUACAAUGCUGAGUUUACAGAAUCUGGUUAUUGUGUGGUUUACAUGUAGUAAAAUAAUAAUUACAGAGUGUACCACUAGAACACCUAGCAUGGCUAGACAUUUCGGGCAGACUUAGAUUAAAUCUUAAGUUUAAAAUAUUACAAAAUUAUGAGUUAAGUUGGUAUUAUGGCUAAGUGAUUACAAAUACUAGUUUGUGAGUUUAGCAAUGUGAAUGCUUUUGUUUUGGCACUAUACAUAGUUUCAGUAUUGGAGUAUCACAGGCCAACUUAUGACUAGUUAAGAUUCAUUAUUUUGAGAUUGAGAUUGAUAUUUCUGUUUAUGGUCAAAUGGAUGAGUGAAUGUAAGUGUGAACCACCAGGUGGUAUUCGUAUAAUUAGUUGACAGGGUGUAUCAGGGAGAUAAGAUGUUUUCUGAUGGUAGUUUUGAAGGUGAUGAAUGUGUCUGCAGUUUUAGAAUUUUCAGGUAGGGUGUUCCAGAUUUUAGGGCCUUUGACAUACAUUGAAUUUUUGUAAAGGUUUAGUCGGACACGGGGAAUGUCAUAGAGAUGUUUGUGUCUUAUGUUGUGCCUGUGGAUCCUGUCACAACUAUCAAGAAAGCGUUUUAGGUCAAGGUUAAUAUUGGAAUUUAAGGUCCUGUAGAUAUAGAUUGCACAGUAGUAAGUGUGGAUGUUAUGAACAGGGAGUAAGUUUAGAUCUAUGAAGAGUGGGGGGGGGGGUGUUUUCUGGGAUGGGAUUUAGUGAUUAUUCUUACUGCGGCUUUUUGUUGGGUUAUUAUUGGCUUUAGGUGUGUUGCUGCAGUUGAACCCCAAGCACAGAUAGCAUAGGUGAGGUAUGGAUAUAGAAGUGAAUGGUAUAGUGUGAGAAGGGCAGUUUGCGGUACGUAGUAUCGUAUCUUGGAGAGGAUCCCAACCGUUUUGGAUACUUUUUUGGUUAUGUGUUGGAUAUGGGACGCGAGGUAGAGACAUAAAUAAUAAUUUAAAGUUAUCUCCUCACCGAAUGUCAAGACAUUAAAAUCUUCUCUCCCUUGCAGAUGUUGUCCUCUUAUUAACUUAUCAUCACUUGGUCUACAGAAGGAUUACACAGUGAUAAUUUCUUAAGUGCAUCUUAGUAUUAGUUGUAAUAUUUACAGAGAGCUUUGACGGUGCAAAUCAUUCAGCGCUCAGCGCCAAAAGUAUAUACAACAAACACUGAACACGCAAAUAUAAUCAUUGCCAGUUAAAAUACCCAGCAUCAGUUAAAAACCACGUAAAAUUAUUAUUAAUAUCGUAUCAUGUAUAUCUAAGUAAUGUUAAUGUUGUAUGGUGUAGGUGACUUUCCCAAUAUAUUGUUUUCAUUUUUCUGUAAGUUUUUAUUGACAGUUAAAGUAAUGUUACUGUU